GAUGAACGCUGGCGGCGUGCCUAAUACAUGCAAGUCGAGCGAACAGACGAGGAGCUUGCUCCUCUGACGUUAGCGGCGGACGGGUGAGUAACACGUGGAUAACCUACCUAUAAGACUGGGAUAACUUCGGGAAACCGGAGCUAAUACCGGAUAAUAUAUUGAACCGCAUGGUUCAAUAGUGAAAGACGGUUUUGCUGUCACUUAUAGAUGGAUCCGCGCCGCAUUAGCUAGUUGGUAAGGUAACGGCUUACCAAGGCAACGAUGCGUAGCCGACCUGAGAGGGUGAUCGGCCACACUGGAACUGAGACACGGUCCAGACUCCUACGGGAGGCAGCAGUAGGGAAUCUUCCGCAAAGGGCGAAAGCCUGACGGAGCAACGCCGCGUGAGUGAUGAAGGUCUUCGGAUCGUAAAACUCUGUUAUUAGGGAAGAACAAAUGUGUAAGUAACUAUGCACGUCUUGACAGUACCUAAUCAGAAAGCCACGGCUAACUACGUG
rnacentral:rRNA from 1 species